AGAUUGAACGCUGGCGGCAGGCCUAACACAUGCAAGUCGAGCGGUAGAGAGGUGCUUGCACCUCUUGAGAGCGGCGGACGGGUGAGUAAAGCCUAGGAAUCUGCCUGGUAGUGGGGGGAUAACGCUCGGAAACGGACGCUAAUACCGCAUACGUCCUACGGGAGAAAGCAGGGGACCUUCGGGCCUUGCGCUAUCAGAUGAGCCUAGGUCGGAUUAGCUAGUUGGUGAGGUAAUGGCUCACCAAGGCGACGAUCCGUAACUGGUCUGAGAGGAUGAUCAGUCACACUGGAACUGAGACACGGUCCAGACUCCUACGGGAGGCAGCAGUGGGGAAUAUUGGACAAUGGGUGAAAGCCUGAUCCAGCCAUGCCGCGUGUGUGAAGAAGGUCUUCGGAUUGUAAAGCACUUUAAGUUGGGAGGAAGGACAUUAAACCUAAUUAACGUUAGUGUUUUGUACGUUACCGACAGAAUAAGACACCGGUCUAACUCUGUGACCAGAC
rnacentral:rRNA from 1 species